AACGAACGCUGGCGGCAGGCUUAACACAUGCAAGUCGAGCGCGUAGCAAUACGAGCGGCAGACGGGUGAGUAACGCGUGGGAAUCUACCCAUCUCUACGGAACAACUGCGGGAAACUGGAGCUAAUACGGUAUACGUCCUUCGGGAGAAAGAUUUAUCGGAGAUGGAUGAGCCCGCGUUGCAUUAGCUAGUUGGUGGGGUAAUGGCAUACCAAGGCGACGAUCCAUAACUGGUCUGAGAGGAUGAUCAGCCACAUUGGGACUGUGACACGGCCCAAACUCCUACGGGAGGAAGCAGUGGUGAAUAUUGGACAAUGGGCGCAAGCCUGAUCCAGCCAUGCCGCGUGAGUGAUGAAGGCCAUAGGGUUGUAAAGCUCUUUCAACGGUGAAGAUAAUGACGGUAACCGUAGAAGAAGCCCCGGCUAACUUCGUGCCAGCCGCCGCGGUAA
rnacentral:rRNA from 1 species